GAGUGUCUGCAGUAAUCUCUCGUUCAUUUUUUUCCAGAAUUUGGAUCUUUGUUUCUUUGAAAUUUAGGUUUCCCCAUGUAAAUGGCUAUGUGGCAUCUAUUGAUGGGAGAUUUGAUGCCAGUGUACUGAUUCCAGAUCUUCCCUUGAAACAUGAGCCUUAAUGUAGUUGUUUGUCUGUCGAAGGUCUGGAGUGCUCCAUCUAAUGCCUGAAAGAGGAUAGAUUUGUUUACCAAAUGAAGUUGCAUGGUGUGCCUGCAGUCCACUUGUCUUCCUUUUUAUUGAGAUGACAAUUUGUGCUGCAUUGUCCAUGAGCAGUGUACCGCUAAGAAGACUUGAUUACUUGCAGAGGACUACUGCUGUCCUUCUCUUUUCCCAAUAUGUUUCAUUGUAUUUGAUUUUGGAAUGAUUCCUUUGCACGGGAAUGAUCCCGUUGUCAGUUGAAUGGUACACGGUGUUGAAUGGUGGUUAGAACAAGGUGCUUUCUGCUUUGAGAACGGAUUUAAUUGAGUCCGCUUCGCAUAGGUCUUCUUCGCGCACUGAUGCCAAAAAGACUCGUCACAACGAUUCCGAAAUGGUUCGUCAAUCGCGCAUUCACGGCCGUGUAGUAGAACCUCUUUAAAGGUAAUUGCAUUUGAGGCGUCAUGCCAUUUCAUGAAAUUGAACAUUCAGAAUAUGGGGUAUAUGUUUGCAAAUUAUUAAGAUCUAUUCAGAGUGGUAACAUAAAGUAGGACUGUAGGAAAGGGUACGUAGGCUUCUAAAAGUGAAGAACAGCUCUGACGUCUUUAGUAAGCGGAAAAGGUACUGCAAAGAGAAGCGCCACAUGACGAUUUUAAGGAUGGACCCUUUCGAUUGCUUUGGCCAAUGAAUCUGUGUUUGGAACUGGCAGUUGGCGUUUAACAGUGGCACCCAAUCUUUGUUCUUAAAAGCCCGUUUCCCCUUGACUUGUGAUAAGCCCGUAGGGGGUCAUGCCCCUACUGUGGUCAG